GGGUCAGUAGGUUGGUCGUGCCACCGGUACGUACUGGUCACACUGAUUCCUCCUUCCUGAAAAACCGUAAUGCCAUUAAUUUGGUGUUGCGGGGAAACAGGACUGUUACUUUGAAAAAAUUAGAGUGUUUAAAGCAAGCUAACACUUGAAUACAUUAGCAUGGAAUAAUGAAAUAGGACGAUCGAUCCUAUUUUGUUGGUUUCUAGGAUUGACGUA
rnacentral:rRNA from 1 species